UCGCCUGUUUAUCAAAAACAUGUCUUUUUGAGAAAAAUAUAAGGUUUAAUCUGCCCACUGAUUAAUUAAAUGGCUGCGGUAAUUUGACCGUACAAAGGUAGCAUAAUCAUUAGUUUAUUAAUUGUGAACUGGAAUGAAUGAUUGGACAAGGGAGAUACUGUUUCGAUUUUAAAUUGAUGAAUUUUACUUGUUAUUGAGAAGGAUAAUAUGUAUGAAAAAGACGAGAAGACCCUGUAGAUCUUUAUUAGUAGUUCGAUUAGGGUUAAAUAGAAUAAGUAAUUUAGUUGGGGUAAUUGUAUUUUUAAAUAUAUAUAUAUAUAUGAUUAUACUAAAGAGUAAUUAUAUGAUCUGUUAAACAAUUAGUUGAUUAAGUUACCUCAGGGAUAACAGCAUAAUCUAAUUUAGGAGUUCUUAUCUGAAAUUGGGCUUGUGACCUCGAUGUUGGAUUAAGAAAAUUAUUCGGUGAAGAGGCUUUAUAAAUAAGUCUGUUCGACUUUUAAAUUCUUACAUGAUCUGAGUUCAAACCGGAGA
rnacentral:rRNA from 1 species